UACGUAGGGACCGAGCGUUGUCCGGAAUUACUGGGUGUAAAGGGUUCGUAGGCGGUGUGGCAAGUCGGGAGUGAAAUUUCUGGGCUCAACUCAGAGACUGCUUCCGAAACUGCUGUGCUUGAGUGUGGGAGAGGCGCGUGGAAUUGCAGGUGUAGCGGUGAAAUGCGUAGAUAUCUGCAGGAACACCCGUGGCGAAAGCGGCGCGCUGGACCACUACUGACGCUGAGGAACGAAAGCUAGGGGAGCAAACAGG
rnacentral:rRNA from 1 species